rnacentral:rRNA from 1 species
UCCGCUUUUGUGCCAGCAGCCGCGGUAAUUCCAGCUCCAAGAGCAUAUAUUAAAGUCGUUGCAGUUAAAAAGCUCGUAGUUGAAUAUCUGGUAUAACGUACCUGGCCCGCAGCCUUUAGGCUUGUGUGUGCCGGCGCACGUUUGCCAUCUUUCUAAAAAACGGGUCUGCCAUUAACUUGGUGGGUUCGGGAUCUAGAUCAUUUACUUUGAAAAAAUUAGAGUGUUUAAAGCAAGCAAUUGCUCUGAAUACAUUAGCAUGGAAUAAUAAUCUAGGACUUCGGUUCUAUUUUGUUGGUUUCUAAAACUGAAGUAAUGAUUGAUAGGGACAGUUGGGGGUGCUAGUAUUGGCCGGCCAGAGGUGAAAUUCUUGGAUUCGGUCAAGACUAACUUAUGCGAAAGCAUUCACCAAGGAUGUCUUCUUUAAUCAAAAACGAAAGUUGGGGGGAUCAAAAAACGAUCAGAUACCGUCGUACUCUCAACCAUAAACUAUGCCAACUUGGGGAUGGGGGGGAACGUUGCUUUUUUCGACUUUCAUCCGCAUCUUAUGAAAAAUCAAAGUCUUUGGGUUCCCGGGGGGAAAUUAGGGUCCCCAAGGGCUAAAACCUUAAAAUAAAUUGACAGAACCCCCCCCCCCAGGGAGUGGGAGCCGCGGCGGCUUAUUUUGACUCAACCACGGGAAAAACUUACCCAGGUCCGGACAUAGGGGGAGGAUUGACAGAUUGAAUAUCUUUUCUUGAUUCUAGGGGGGUGGGGGGGUGGCAUGGCCCGUUCUUAGUUUGGGUGGGAAGUGAUUUGGCCUGGGUUUAAUCUCCCGUUAACGAACGAGACCCUCGACCUGCUAAUAGUUGGACUGAAUUCUUUUUUGGGGUUGGAGAUUGACUUCUAGGAGGUACUUUUGUGUGGUUAGCAAAGGGAUGUUACGAGGCAUUACAGGUUCUGUGAUGCCCUAGAUGUCUGGGCGCACGCGCGCCUACACAUGAGUCCGGGACUCCAAUCUCGCCAGG